rnacentral:rRNA from 1 species
GUUGAGGAAGAUAAUGACGGUACUCAACAAGGAAGUGACGGCUAACUACGUGCCAGCAGCCGCGGUAAAACGUAGGUCACAAGCGUUGUCCGGAAUUACUGGGUGUAAAGGGAGCGCAGGCGGGAAGACAAGUUGGAAGUGAAAUCUAUGGGCUCAACCCAUAAACUGCUUUCAAAACUGUUUUUCUUGAGUAGUGCAGAGGUAGGCGGAAUUCCCGGUGUAGCGGUGGAAUGCGUAGAUAUCGGGAGGAACACCAGUGGCGAAGGCGGCCUACUGGGCACCAACUGACGCUGAGGCUCGAAAGUGUGGGUAGCAAACAGGAUUAGAUACCCUGGUAGUCCACACCGUAAACGAUGAUUACUAGGUGUUGGAGGAUUGACCCCUUCAGUGCCGCAGUUAACACAAUAAGUAAUCCACCUGGGGAGUACGACCGCAAGGUUGAAACUCAAAGGAAUUGACGGGGGCCCGCACAAGCAGUGGAGUAUGUGGUUUAAUUCGACGCAACGCGAAGAACCUUACCAAGUCUUGACAUCCCUUGACGAACAUAGAAAUAUGUUUUCUCUUCGGAGCAAGGAGACAGGUGGUGCAUGGUUGUCGUCAGCUCGUGUCGUGAGAUGUUGGGUUAAGUCCCGCAACGAGCGCAACCCUUAUGGUCAGUUACUACGCAAGAGGACUCUGGCCAGACUGC